rnacentral:RNase_P_RNA from 1 species
AAAGUAAGUCGUCUUGCCGUGUCCCGGUUAUACCGGGAUAAGGAAAGUCCGGGCAACAUAGAGCAUCGUGCUUCCUAACAGGAAGGUGCUGAGCAAUCAGCAACAGAAUGUGCCACAGAAAACAAACUACCCUGACUUGUCAGGGAAAAGGUGAAAAGGUGAGGUAAGAGCUCACCGGCUAGGUAGUGAUAUCUGGUGCUAGGUAAACCUCACGAGUUGAAAGACCAAAUAAGCUGGUAUUUGAGGGCUGCUCGUCCAAAUCAGUGGGUAGGUCGUUUGAUCCUGAUGGUGACGUCAGGGCUAGAUAAAUGGCAAGAAUCCACCUUUUGGUGGAUACAGAACCCGGCUUAUAGACUUACAUUUUUU